CGGAGUGUGCGAGUCGGUUCGCCAGUAGUCGGCGGUCGUAGUCGGGGCCGCUCGCGAGAGGCGAACAGAGACGGAGACUUUUGCUGCUGCGAGGGGGUGAAAGAGAAUAGGUUAAGUGGGCCAUUAGAAGAACCGAGGAGUGAGAAGGACCAUUCUAAAAUCAUUAUGCUACGUGUUUCCCUCUGUCGCUCUUGACACGAAGCACGAGAGGCAUUUUACUCGCUUUGCCCACCUUGCUUCCCUCCUGCAACGUCCAAAUUCGAGGGUUUGGAUUGACCAGAUGGCCGACCUUCCCUUUUUCCUGCGAAGGACUUCAUUAAAAGACACAACGCAGCUUGCCGAGAAGUUUGUUUGAAUAAGUUGCGACGAGGAAAGGACGAAAUUUCAUCAUGCAAACUUUGCGAGGUGCUAAACACCUGGAAGAAUUAAUUGGGUGUCGGAAAGUUGGAAUCGAGUUUUCAAUAAUUUGUCUGAAGAUCCAAAGAAAGCAGGAAGGAAAAGUCGAGAACGAAAACUAUCAUAAUCACGAUGAUCGAGGACACCGAACGCAACCACCACAGUUUCGAGGCUCCAGGUGGGAGGCAGCUGCAAGGCGUACGAACGAAAAAGUGAUGUUCGCGGAGUGAGAAAGAGAUGCUUGCUGGGGCACUUAUGCUGUCAACCGUCAGGGAGUCUUUUUGAGACGUCAUUUUCAGAGACGCUCCUCUGCCCAAUAAAAUCGUACUAAAAAUAAAAAAUAAAAAUUUUCUUAUAUACUUUAUUACUUCAAUAAUUGAUACACAAAAUUUCAAGUAAUUUGAUCGAGCCGUUAAAAAAAAAAUCCCAAAAAAUACCUCAUUAUCAGCAGCCUGUCACACUGAUAGUUUAUGAGAUUCUUCGAUAUUUUGGAAAGUUCUAAAUACAUACAGAUUUGUACAGAGGCCGAAUUUGGUUGUAAAUUGAAAAAAGUGAAGAAAAAAAAAAAUAUAUCAGAUGCUGCAUGGAA